rnacentral:rRNA from 1 species
UACAGAGGGGGCAAGCGUUGUUCGGAAUUACUGGGCGUAAAGGGCGCGUAGGCGGCCCGCUAAGUCGAACGUGAAAUCCCCCGAGCUCAACUCGGGAACUGCGUCCGAUACUGGCGGGCUUGAAUCCGGGAGAGGGAUGUGGAAUUCCAGGUGUAGCAGUGAAAUGCGUAGAUAUCUGGAGGAACACCGGUGGCGAAGGCGGCAUCCUGGACCGGUAUUGACGCUGAGGCGCGAAAGCCAGGGGAGCAAACGGG